GUAGAGAGGGAAGGUGGCACCUAAUUAGAGUGACCUCGCAAAUGCUAGAAAAACUUCAGAUAGACGGUAAGUAAGAGGGAAGAGCCUCGAAUUACUUUAACGUUUUCUGCGUGCAAGUUCCCAAGAAUGUAGAGAAAUUCCAUUUUGUUUGCUUGAAACCGCGGAAGAAAUGAAGAACUCGGAGGGCAGCCACGUGCAUGCAAUAUGGAAAACAUAAUUGGUUAUAAAAAAUAAAAAUGAGG
rnacentral:lncRNA from 1 species